AACGAACGCUGGCGGCAUGCCUAACACAUGCAAGUCGAACGAGACCUUCGGGUCUAGUGGCGCACGGGUGCGUAACGCGUGGGAACCUGCCCUUAGGUUCGGAAUAACUCCCCGAAAGGGGUGCUAAUACCGGAUAAUGUCUUCGGACCAAAGAUUUAUCGCCUGUGGAUGGGCCCGCGUUGGAUUAGCUAGUUGGUAGGGUAAAAGCCUACCAAGGCGACGAUCCAUAGCUGGUCUGAGAGGAUGAUCAGCCACACUGGGACUGAGACACGGCCCAGACUCCUAGGAGAGGCAGCAGUUGGGAAUAUUGGAGAAUGGGCGAGAGCCUGAUCCAGCGAGGCCGCGUGAGUGAUGAAGGCCUUAGGGUUGUAAAGCUCCAUUACCCGGGAUGAUAAUGACAGUACCGGGAGAAUAAGCUCCGGCUAACUCCGUG
rnacentral:rRNA from 1 species